CCUCUACCUCGUAUUCUUCUGUUUUCUCGCCAUUGAUCUUUUGCUCCGAUUUUCGUUGAGUUUUCUCAUAUUUUGCUAGAUUUGAAAUUUAUUGGGUUCGUCUUGCGCCACCUUGAAAGCAUGCCGACGGGAUGAAAUGUGGUCGUUGUAUCGCUGGAAAUAAUUGCCAGAAAGCCUCACACGUGGAGGAGCAAUUUUGCUUUUAGGACAGGAGGUUUUUCAUUUUACAUGGGGGCAAAGUGUAGGUUUUUAAAUGACGGGUUGGAAGUGAAAAAUUGGAUUUUUACAUGGAGAUUUUAUGUAAUUUACUCUAAAAAAAAUUUAGAAAAAACUUCAAAUACCACUCCUGUGGUUUCGUACUUUCUCACUUUAGUACUUUAUAGUUUAAAAUGUAUUACUUUAAUACCAUAUGAAUUUGCUUUUCUCUCUUCUGUUAUCCUCUUUGUUAUUUUUUCUAUUAAAUCAAUGACAAAAUUAAAACUGCAUGGUACUAAAAUAAAAAUUCGGUAAACUACAAAGUACUAAAGUGAAUAUUCGAUAAAUCAUAGGUGGAGUAUCUGAACUUUUUUGUAUAUGAUUUAACGGAGAGGUUGAUAGAAAGAGAAAAAUAAAACCAAAGGAUAUUAAAGUAAUACAUUUUAAACCAUAAGAUACUAAAGUGGGAAUGCACGAAACCAUAAGGAUGGU
rnacentral:lncRNA from 1 species